rnacentral:rRNA from 1 species
GACGAACGCUGGCGGCGUGCCUAACACAUGCAAGUCGAGCGAAUGAAGUUCCUUCGGGAAUGGAUUUAGCGGCGGACGGGUGAGUAACACGUGGGCAACCUGCCUCAUAGAGGGGAAUAGCCUUCCGAAAGGGAGAUUAAUACCGCAUAAGAUUGUAGUAUCGCAUGAUACAGCAAUUAAAGGAGCAAUCCGCUAUGAGAUGGGCCCGCGGCGCAUUAGCUAGUUGGUGAGGUAACGGCCCACCAAGGCGACGAUGCGUAGCCGACCUGAGAGGGUGAUCGGCCACAUUGGGACUGAGACACGGCCCAGACUCCUACGGGAGGCAGCAGUGGGGAAUAUUGCACAAUGGGGGAAACCCUGAUGCAGCAACGCCGCGUGAGUGAUGACGGCCUUCGGGUUGUAAAGCUCUGUCUUCAGGGACGAUAAUGACGGUACCUGAGGAGGAAGCCACGGCUAACUACGUG